rnacentral:rRNA from 1 species
GACGAACGCUGGCGGCGUGCCUAAUACAUGCAAGUCGAGCGGACUGACUCGAGAAGCUUGCUUCUCGAUGAUGUUAGCGGCGGACGGGUGAGUAACACGUGGGCAACCUGCCUGUAAGACUGGGAUAACUCCGGGAAACCGGGGCUAAUACCGGAUAAUUCAUUUUCUCACAUGAGGAAAUGCUGAAAGACGGUUUCGGCUGUCACUUACAGAUGGGCCCGCGGCGCAUUAGCUAGUUGGUGAGGUAACGGCUCACCAAGGCAACGAUGCGUAGCCAACCUGAGAGGGUGAUCGGCCACACUGGGACUGAGACACGGCCCAGACUCCUACGGGAGGCAGCAGUAGGGAAUCUUCCGCAAUGGACGAAAGUCUGACGGAGCAACGCCGCGUGAGCGAAGAAGGCCUUCGGGUCGUAAAGCUCUGUUGUCAGGGAAGAACAAGUACCGGAGUAACUGCCGGUACCUUGACGGUACCUGACCAGAAAGCCACGGCUAACUACGUGCCAGCAGCCGCGGUAAUACGUAGGUGGCAAGCGUUGUCCGGAAUUAUUGGGCGUAAAGCGCGCGCAGGCGGUCUUUUAAGUCUGAUGUGAAAGCCCACGGCUCAACCGUGGAGGGUCAUUGGAAACUGGGGGACUUGAGUGCAGAAGAGGAGAGUGGAAUUCCACGUGUAGCGGUGAAAUGCGUAGAGAUGUGGAGGAACACCAGUGGCGAAGGCGACUCUCUGGUCUGUAACUGACGCUGAGGCGCGAAAGCGUGGGGAGCGAACAGGAUUAGAUACCCUGGUAGUCCACGCCGUAAACGAUGAGUGCUAAGUGUUAGGGGGUUUCCGCCCCUUAGUGCUGCAGCAAACGCAUUAAGCACUCCGCCUGGGGAGUACGGUCGCAAGACUG